rfam:Schistosoma margrebowiei strain Zambia genome assembly, scaffold: SMRZ_scaffold0000246
GCACUGCUGAGGAGUCCCAAAAUAGGACGGAACGGUUGUCAAGUGC